rnacentral:rRNA from 1 species
UUCCAGACUCCUACGGGAGGCAGCAGUGAGGAAUAUUGGUCAAUGGCCGAGAGGCUGAACCAGCCAAGUCGCGUGAGGGAAGACGGCCCUACGGGUUGUAAACCUCUUUUGUCGGGGAGCAAAGCGAACCACGUGUGGUUCAUUGAGAGUACCCGAAGAAAAAGCAUCGGCUAACUCCGUGCCAGCAGCCGCGGUAAUACGGAGGAUCCGAGCGUUAUCCGGAUUUAUUGGGUUUAAAGGGAGCGUAGAUGGGUUGUUAAGUCAGUUGUGAAAGUUUGCGGCUCAACCGUAAAAUUGCAAUUGAUACUGGCAGUCUUGAGUACAGUUGAGGUAGGCGGAAUUCGUGGUGUAGCGGUGAAAUGCUUAGAUAUCACGAAGAACUCCGAUUGCGAAGGCAGCUUACUAAACUGCCACUGACAUUGAUGCUCGAAAGUGUGGGUAUCAAACAGGAUUAGAUACCCGCGUACA